rnacentral:tRNA from 1 species
CAGAGAAUAGUUUAUAUAAAAUAUUAAUUUUGGAGAUUAAUGAAAAGAUUAUUCUUUUCUCUGA